AGGUGCGAUCAUACUAGUCCUAAAGCAUCGAAUCUUUUCAAAACUUUAAAGUUUAAGCAUUCUUGGGCGAGACUAUUAUUGGGAUAGUUGACCCCCUGGGGAUGUUCUCAUGUUGCACUCC
rnacentral:rRNA from 1 species